UACCCACGCAAUGGGAGUGCGAAUCUCGAAAGCCUGUCUCAGUUCGGAUUGGAGGCUGAAACCCGCCCUCCAUGAAGUUGGAUUCGCUAGUAAUCGCGCAUCAGCCAUGGCGCGGUGAAUACGUUCCCGGGCCUUGUACACACCGCCCCGUCAAGCCAUGGGAGCCGGGGGGUGCCUGAAGUGCGUGACCGUAAAAGGAGCGCCCUAGGGCAAGACCGGUGACUGGGGCUAAGUCGUAACAAGGUACC
rnacentral:rRNA from 1 species